GUUGAAACACCCGUUCCCUUACGAUUACCGAAGUUAAGCAACGUCGAGCUUUGUUAAUAUCUAGAUGAGUGACCGCUUGGGAACACCAGGUGCUGUAAG